CCUGAACGCUGGCGGCGUGGCUAAGACAUGCAAGUCGUACGGGCCUAGCAAUAGGUCAGUGGCGAACGGGUGAGUAAUGUAUCGCUAACGUGCCCCGGACUCUGGGAUAGCUGCCCGAAAGGGCAGGUAAUACCAGAUGACAUAACUGGACCGCAUGGUUCGGUUCUCAAAGGGAAACCGGUCUGGGAGCGGGCGAUAUCGUAUCAGCUAGUUGGUAGGGUAACGGCCUACCAAGGCGACGACGCGUAGCGGGACUGAGAGGUCGGCCCGCCACAUCGGGACUGAGACACUGCCCGGACUCCUACGGGGGGCUGCAGUAACGAAUAUUGGGCAAUGCACGCAAGUGUGACCCAGCGACGCCGCGUGUGGGAUGAAGUCCUUCGGGAUGUAAACCACUGUCAGGGGCAAGAAAGUUCUGAUCUGCCCCAGAGGAAGGCACGGCUAACUCUGUGCCAGCAGCCGCGGUAAGACAGAGGUGCCAAGCGUUAGGCGGAAUCACU
rnacentral:rRNA from 1 species